CCUACGGGACGCACCAGUGGGGAAUAUUGGACAAUGGGCGAAAGCCUGAUCCAGCCAUGCCGCGUGUGUGAAGAAGGUCUUCGGAUUGUAAAGCACUUUAAGUUGGGAGGAAGGGCAGUAAGUUAAUACCUUGCUGUUUUGACGUUACCGACAGAAUAAGCACCGGCUAACUCUGUGCCAGCAGCCGCGGUAAUACAGAGGGUGCAAGCGUUAAUCGGAAUUACUGGGCGUAAAGCGCGCGUAGGUGGUUCGUUAAGUUGGAUGUGAAAGCCCCGGGCUCAAUCUGGGAACUGCAUCCAAAACUGGCGAGUUAGAGUACGGUAGAGGGUGGUGGAAUUUCCUGUGUAGCGGUGAAAUGCGUAGAUAUUGGGAAGAACACCGGUGGCGAAGGCGGCAACCUGGCUCGAUACUGACGCUGAGGCGCGAAAGCGUGGGGAGCAAACAGGAUUAGAUACCCGUGUAGUC
rnacentral:rRNA from 1 species